CAUUCUGGAAGUCCGUUCAACUUCCAAAACGUUCGAAAACCAAAUUGUGGCUUCUGAUUGGCUUCAGGAAGUUCCUCCAGCCAAUCAGAAGCUGCAGAAGCCCCGUCGGACGUUCAGGUUCCAAAAGAACGCUCACAAACUGGAACAAUCACUUCUGGGUUUGCGGCGUUCGGGAGCCAAAACAUCCAACUUCCAGGGCAUUCAGGAUCCAAGAUUCCAACGAGAGCAAUACACUUUCUGCACUGCACUUAAGGAAAAGUACAAAGGUGGUUUCUUAGUAUUGGUCCUGGAAAGAAAUGGAAGUCCGCUGUUCUUGUGUGCAGCCCAAAAACAAUGGGAAUAUAAAGCGAGAAAUUGUAAUGAGUCUUUGUACUCUGGGUGGUGCCAUCUAACACCCCUGGCUCAUAGACUUUCGAAGCAGACUCUGGAGAUCUCCCAAACAAUCUCUCUGAAGUAGAUGACUGCGCAACAGAAUGGCAAAUGAAAAUCCCAGCUUCACACAUGAAAGCUAUUGGCUGAAAUUAUCAUCAUCAUCAUAUUAUUUGUACGCCGCCUUUCCACAGUUAAAACAAGGCGGCUUACAAUAUAUGAAAAGGUUUACAUAAU